rnacentral:misc_RNA from 1 species
UCUCCGUAGGUGAACCUGCGGAGGGAUCAUUAAGAAUUGAACAGCAGUGUCUGGCACUGUUGCCCAUUCUAACCCUUUGUGAACUACAACUCUGUUGCUUCGGGGGCGACCCCGCCGUUUCGGCGGUGCGGCGCCCCCGAAGGUCUCCAAACACUGCAUCUUUGCGUCGGAGUUUAAAACAAAUUAAACAAAACUUUCAACAACGGAUCUCUUGGUUCUGGCAUCGAUGAAGAACGCAGC